CCUACGGGGCGCUGCAGUGAGGAAUAUUGGUCAAUGGACGAGAGUCUGAACCAGCCAAGUAGCGUGAAGGAUGACUGCCCUAUGGGUUGUAAACUUCUUUUAUAUGGGAAUAAAACGUUCCACGUGUGGGAUUUUGUAUGUACCAUAUGAAUAAGGAUCGGCUAACUCCGUGCCAGCAGCCGCGGUAAUACGGAGGAUCCGAGCGUUAUCCGGAUUUAUUGGGUUUAAAGGGAGCGUAGGUGGAUUGUUAAGUCAGUUGUGAAAGUUUGCGGCUCAACCGUAAAAUUGCAGUUGAAACUGACAGUCUUGAGUACAGUAGAGGUGGCCGGAAUUCGUGGUGUAGCGGUGAAAUGCUUAGAUAUCACGAAGAACUCCGAUUGCGAAGGCAGUUCACUGGACUGCAACUGACACUGAGGCUCGAAAGUGUGGGUAUCAAACAGGAUUAGAUACCCGAGUAGUC
rnacentral:rRNA from 1 species